CCUACGGGAGGCAGCAGUGAGGAAUAUUGGUCAAUGGGCUUACGCCUGAACCAGCCAAGUCGCGUGAGGGAAGACUGCCCUAUGGGUUGUAAACCUCUUUUGUCAGGGAGCAACGCCGGCUACGUGUAGCCGGACUGAGAGUAACUGAAGAAAAAGCAUCGGAAAACCCCGGGCCAGCAGCCGCGGUAAUACGGGGGAUGCGAGCGUUAUCCGGAUUGAGUGGGUUUAAAGGGUCCGUAGGCCGAAGGCCAAGUCAGCGGUAAAAUCGCGGGGCUCAACCCCGCUCCGCCGUUGAAACUGGCGUUCUUGAGUGGGCGAGAGGUAUGCGGAAUGCGUGGUGUAGCGGUGAAAUGCAUAGAUAUCACGCAGAACUCCGAUUGCGAAGGCAGCAUACCGGCGCCCAACUGACGCUGAAGCACGAAAGCGUGGGUAUCGAACAGGAUUAGAUACCCUAGUAGUC
rnacentral:rRNA from 1 species